rnacentral:rRNA from 1 species
CAAUUCUAGAGCUAAUACAUGCACGCAGUCUCGGACCUUCGGGAAAGAGCGCAUUUAUUAGAACAAAACCAAUCGAGCUUCGGCUUGUUUAUUGGUGACUCUGAAUAACUUAGUUAAUCGCAUGGUCUUAGUACCGGCGAUGUAUCUUUCAAAUGUCUGCCUUAUCAACUUUCGACGGUAGGUUAUACGCCUACCGUGGUUAUAACGGGUAACGGAGAAUAAGGGUUCGACUCCGGAGAGGGGGCUUGAGAAAUGGCCACCACAUCCAAGGAAGGCAGCAGGCGCGCAAAUUACCCAAUCCCAGAACGGGGAGGUAGUGACGAAAAAUAACGAGACAGUCCACUAUGUGGCCUGUCAUCGGAAUGGGUACAGUUUAAACUUCUUAACGAGGAUCUAUUAGAGGGCAAGUCUGGUGCCAGCAGCCGCGGUAAUUCCAGCUCUAAUAGCGUAUAUUAAAGUUGUUGUGGUUAAAACGCCCGUAGUUGGAUCUUCGGUCUUGAAGCUCGGUAAUUCGUAAGAAUUUAACUGAGUCUUCUGGCCUAAAUUUUAGUUUUCCCCUGAUGCUCUUUAUUGAGUGUCUUGGGUAGCUGGAACGUUUACUUUGAAAAAAUUAGAGUGCUAAAAGCAGGCUAUAUGCUUGAAUAAAGUGCAUGGAAUAAUGGAAUAGGACUUUAGUCUCAUUUUGUUGGUUUUCGAAAUUAAAGUAAUGAUUAAGAGGAACAGACGGGGGCAUUCGUAUUGUUGCGUUAGAGGUGAAAUUCUUGGAUCGCAGCAAGACGAACGACUGCGAAAGCAUUUGCCAAGAAUGUUUUCAUUAAUCAAGGACGAUAGUUAGAGGUUCG